UGGAGACACAUGGCUUUGCAUCUGUGAAAACACAGCUGUAUAGAGCAAAACAAGACUAGUGGAAAAUACAAUGGUUUUGCUGUGUCAGGCCCGCUGCUAAUGCUCAAAUUCUAUACAAAUAUUGUCUUUUGAUAGCUCUUUCAGAAAUCCUUCUUGACUUUCCUUAUGAUUGCUUAGUGACGUUAUUUUUAAUUCAGAUUUGGGGCAUUUUUAGGAUUAAAGUACAUGCUACGUCUUUCUCAUAUUUUGAAAAAGGCAGUAAAAACAAAUGGGAUGUAGUCAGUGUAAUAACGUUAUCUAAGCUCUAACCUAAUGGGUAGUAGGGAAGUGGAAAAAUUUAAGAGAAGAUUGAGGUAAAGUCUAACUUGAUCCUUGAUCCUCUUUCUUUUGGGCGGGGUAUUGUAUGUGCUUUGUAUAGCAAGUUGUAAGCAAAGGAGGGCCUUUGAAGCACGGUCUAAACUUAGCUGCUUUGUUUUGAGCAAUUAAGAUUUGUAAUUGAGUGAAUUAAGUAGCCCUGCUUUCAUUCAUCUGAAAGUGGAGGUCUUUUUCCUUCGCUGAAGCCGAAGCUCAGUGAAGAGGUCCAGUGCUCCCCUCAGCUCCUGUCUCCUCCCCAGGCGGGCCCGCCGCCCCUCUGCCCUCUGGUUUCCUGCUGUGGCGCUGGCGAGCCUCUGCCCUCCUAGGCAGCAGUGGGGUGCAGGUACAUACAGAGCAGGCAAAGCUGGGUGCGGGCGUGACGCCCAAGGCCAAAGGCUGCCGCGCGCCCCUCUCUGCAGCCGAGCUCACGCUUUCCAGCAGGGGCUGACACCGGGGGACAGCCAUUGUGCCGUCACCCCGCUCACCCUCUCCUUCCAGCACCGGCAGCUUACGCAGCGGCUGGCUCCGGAGGCCCAAUCAGCAAACUCAACUUUUGUGGCAGAGGAGGCAGUUCAAGUGUUCCUGCCCCCGCCGAGGGAGGAGCUAAUGUGGAAUUACCGGGAGACCAAUCAGCGGUGCAGCAAGAAUGACCCCAAAUGGGGAAGAAGGACUUUGUUGACCCGCGUGGCUCCCUGACCUUCCCUCACUGUUUUUUUCCCUUUGAAGAGUUUUACUCUGGUGUCGUUUACUUUAUGAUGUUCUUGCUCAAAGCCACAAAAAGUUUUAGAAGUUUUGGAUCAUUUAAGGUACACGGUAGCACUCAGAGUCGUUUUUUAAAAUCUGACACAAACUAUUGAUAGUUGGUGUUUUUUUUGGAGGGGGGGAGUAGAAUUUCCCCAAUUGUCUUGAGCCACAGUAGGUUCUAACUGUUCUGGUGUCCCAGAGGGAAUCAGAUAAGCCACAGAUCUGGGAAUACUGGUUCCGUUUUGUUGAUUUCUGCUUUUAAAAAAAUAGACUUCACUGCUGUAGGUCUUUAAGACUUUGUCAGGCAGUAAUCAUAGUGGGCCAAAAAUAAAGAUUUUCAGGAGAAGGCUUCUUUUUCCCCUUACUCUUGUUACGGUGGACACACAUUUGGCAAAUCAUCCCAUGUCGAAGUGCAGAUUCAUGGGAUAACCUCCGAAAUGGGAGAUGCUACUUUAGCCUUUGCCACCACCUGCUGAUUAUUUAUGAAGUGCAUCACAUUUGUAAACUAUUUCCCAUCCCCUCUGGGUGGUGGUCAGUGGGAUACUGUACUAUUAAGAAUGAAGUAGUUUUCAGUUGUGCAGGAG
ensembl:lincRNA